GGAAGUAAAAGUCGUAACAAGAUCUCCGUAGGUGAACCUGCGGAGGGAUCAUUACAGAGUUCAUGCCCUACCGGGUAGAUCUCCCACCCUAUGUUAUUAUUACUUUGUUGCUUUGGCGGGCCGUUAGGCUCCGGCCCGACUACCGGCCCCGGCUGGUAAGCGCCCGCCAGAGGACCCAAAACCCUGAAUAUUAGUGUCGUCUGAGUACUAUAUAAUAGUUAAAACUUUCAACAACGGAUCUCUUGGUUCUG
rnacentral:misc_RNA from 1 species